rnacentral:lncRNA from 1 species
AAACUUCACUAGGGAGUGGCAUCACCAAAGGGUUGAUGGAAAGGAUGAUCAUCAUCAGAGGGCUGAUGGAAAAGAAAGAUCAGGUUAUGUCCAUCAAAGGGUUGAUGGGAAAGAAUUAUGAUGUUGUGUAUGCGCAUGAUGCAUGUUAAUAAAAAAUUCUUAUUUUGUGAGAGAUUUUUGAUAUGCAACUUCCUUAUUUGGAAGGAAAGUCAUGUACGUUUAUUGUAUGCAGUGCAUGUGGUAAUGCAAGAUGAAUAUUGGUUAUUUUUUGGAUUG